GACGAACGCUGGCGGCGUGCUUAACACAUGCAAGUCGAACGGAAAGGCCUGCUUUCCCUUGUGGAUUGCGGGUACUCGAGUGGCGAACGGGUGAGUAACACGUGAGUGAUCUGCCCCCAACUUGGGUAUAAGCCUGGGAAACUGGGUCUAAUUCCCGAUAGGACUGCAGGGUGGUGCCUGUGGUGGAAAACGAUUUUCUAGUGGUUGGGGAUGAGCUCGCGGCCUAUCAGCUUGUUGGUGGGGUAAUGGCCUACCAAGGCGGCGACGGGUAACCGGCCUGGGAGGGGGGCCGGCCAAAUUGGGAGUGGGAUACGGCCCGGACUCCUCCGGGGGGCAGCAGUGGGGAAUAUUGGCCAAGGGGGGGAAGCCUUAGGCAGGGGCGCCGGGGGGGGGAUGGCGGCCUUGGGGUUGUAAACUCCUUUCGGCCGGGGGGAAGCCGCCUGGUUGGAGGGGUGGUGAGGGUAGGGGUAAAAGAAGCACCGGCUAACUACGU
rnacentral:rRNA from 1 species